CGGAAUACCACCAGCUGCCAGGGAGAACGAGCUUGGAGCUAGCGGCAGGGCUUAACCCGGCGAAGCUCUGAGAUGGGUUGCUGAAGGAUUCCGGGAGGCAGCUGCAACAGGGCAUCACUCACUGUCCAGGCAUAUCCGUUUCUGAGUGCAAAAGGAAGAACUUGAGCGAGCGGCAAUUGGAGUGAAAAUUGCUUUGUAGUAUCUAAAAGCAGCAUGGAUCGUGGGCAGCUGAGCUGCAACAAAUCAACAGAAAUUCAUGUGAAAAUCAUUGACCACCAUAUGCUGCUCCAGCUUCCUUCAGCUCCUAAUUCUAGGAGCUUGACAACUAAAGCAAACCACAGACAGCCACAGGCACUCACUGCCAGCCCUGACAAAAAAAAUCACAAAAGUCACCUCACAGGAUUCCUUCUGAUAUAUUUUUACUAUUCAACAGAGAAUUAAGCAGUGAUCUAGGUGGGUAGCUGGCAAAAACUAAGAUCAUAGCAUUUGGUUCCAUCACUUCCUGGCAAAUAGAUGAGGGAAAAAUGGAAACAGUGACAUAUUUUAUUUUCUUGGAGUCCAAAACCACUGUGAAUGGUAACUGCAAUCACAAAAUUAAAAGACACUUUUUCUUGGAAGAAAAGCUAUGAUAAACUUAAACAGUGUAUUAAAAAGCAGAGACAUCACUUCACUGACAAGAUCCAUAUAGUCA
ensembl:lncRNA